CUCGCUGCCAGAAUCCCUCCUCUGCCAAUGUCCCAGGCCUAGGCAACUCAACAACGCCGCACCAGUCUGAGGUGUACAUCCUCCAGCUGCCAGUCUAUAUUACAAAGUCAGGGGAAAGGAGGAGGAAACUGCUGUCCUGUUAACUAUGGAAAUAUGACCUAAAAUCCAUUGCAAAUCUACUGAGAAG
rnacentral:lncRNA from 1 species